rnacentral:rRNA from 1 species
UACGGAGGGAGCUAGCGUUGUUCGGAAUUACUGGGCGUAAAGCGCACGUAGGCGGCUUUGUAAGUUAGAGGUGAUAGCCUGGAGCUCAACUCCAGAAUUGCCUUUAAGACUGCAUCGCUUGAAUCCAGGAGAGGUGAGUGGAAUUCCGAGUGUAGAGGUGAAAUUCGUAGAUAUUCGGAAGAACACCAGUGGCGAAGGCGUCUCACUGGACUGGUAUUGACGCUGAGGUGCGAAAGCGUGGGGAGCAAACAG